rfam:Pongo abelii chromosome 1.
CAAGUACUGGUCUCAGCAGAUUGAGGAGGGCACCACAGUGGUCACCACGCAGUCUGCUGAGGCUGGAGCAGC